rnacentral:rRNA from 1 species
GUACACUCCUGCGGGAGGCAGCAGUGGGGAAUAUUGGACAAUGGGCGCAAGCCUGAUCCAGCCAUGCCGCGUGAGUGAUGAAGGCCCUAGGGUUGUAAAGCUCUUUCACCGGUGAAGAUAAUGACGGUAACCGGAGAAGAAGCCCCGGCUAACUUCGUGCCAGCAGCCGCGGUAAUACGAAGGGGGCUAGCGUUGUUCGGAUUUACUGGGCGUAAAGCGCACGUAGGCGGACUAUUAAGUCAGGGGUGAAAUCCCGGGGCUCAACCCCGGAACUGCCUUUGAUACUGGUAGUCUUGAGUUCGAGAGAGGUGAGUGGAAUUCCGAGUGUAGAGGUGAAAUUCGUAGAUAUUCGGAGGAACACCAGCGGCGAAGGCGGCUCACUGGCUCGAUACUGACGCUGAGGUGCGAAAGCGUGGGGAGCAAACAGGAUUAGAUACCCGAGUAGUCCCAUGAU